rnacentral:tRNA from 1 species
AGAAUAGUAUUUAAAAUUAAUAAAAGCUAAUUUGCAUUUGGCCAUUGCUUCUUGCCUAUUCU